CGGCAUGGAUUAGGCAUGCAAGUCGAACGGGAUCUGAAAUAUUCAAGUAGCAAUAUGAGAAUAUUUCAGUGAGAGUGGCGAAAGGGUGAGGAACACGUGAGUUACCUGCCCCUAAGUUUGGAAUAACCUUCCGAAAGGAGGGCUAAUGCCGAAUGUGGAUUACCCGUAAGGGGGACAUCUAAAGGUUUACCGCUUAGGGAUGGGCUCGCGUCCUAUCAGCUUGUUGGUGAGGUAAUGGCUUACCAAGGCAAUGACGGGUAGCUGGUCUGAGAGGAUGGUCAGCCACACUGGGACUGAGACACUGCCCAGACUCCUACGGGAGGCUGCAGUCGAGAAUCUUCCGCAAUGGGCGCAAGCCUGACGGAGCAAUGCCGCGUGAAGGAUGAAGGUCUUCGGAUUGUAAACUUCUGUCACCGGGGACGAAUAAAUGACGGUACCCGGAGAGGAAGUCACGGCUAACUACGUGCCAGCAGCCGCGGUAAUACGUAGGUGACUAGCGUUGUUCGGAUUUAUUGGGCGUAAAGGGUCCGCAGGGGGCCAGCUAAGUCUGAUGUGAAAUACCAAGGCUCAACCUUGGAACUGCAUUGGAAACUGGUUGGCUAGAGUAUCGGAGAGGAGAAUGGAAUUCCUGGUGUAGCGGUGGGAAUGCGUAGAUAUC
rnacentral:rRNA from 1 species